AUGGCUAAGGUCUGUGGACUCUGGUGGGGACCGGUGCUGCCCAUCCUGAACUGGACUAUGGAGCCUAGUGAAACAUAAGCCACACAGUGACAUCUGGGCAGUCCACAUACACUGAGGACAUCAGGAGGAAACUGAAUGAGAGGCUGCACCUGGUGGCAUCUUGGAGCUGCAGAACCUUCACGUUAGCCACUACCUCAUAUUUCAUAGAGCUGGCCCGCCUCCAUAUGUACCCACUUCUGGCUGCCCAGCGGACCCAAGGGACCUUCAGAUCAUCAGCGAGAACAGCUAGAGGCUGAAAGCCAGGGUGCCCCAACAUGGCCCCAUUCCAGCUCAAUGCAGUGUCCGUCUCCAGACUCAGAUCUAUGGGCAACAGCUAAUCUAGCACAUGCCUGUCACGAGGGGACACGCCCAUCCCCCAUUCCCGUCUCCGCCCACAGAUGUGGUGUCUGUGACAUCUAGGUACAACUCCAGCUGCAGGCCCCUCUCCUAAUCCCUCCUAGUCUUGUUCACCCCAUUGACCCCUCUGAGUAAAUGUCAGAGCUGGUCACAGAGCCCAGGGUUGGUGCCCAGUAGCAGCAGCGAGUCCCCACAAAAUCCAGCCCUACUUCUGGGCUGCAAGAGACUUACCUCACAGUAAUUAGUUCAUUAUGUCUGAGGUGCGUCUUAUUCCCCUGGAGACUUCCCAGUCAUUACAAGGUGGUAUGUUAUUAAAAAUGAUUUAUGGAGGCUAAAAGCAUUGGAUGAAGAUCUCAGUGGUGAGAAUGCUGGGCCCAAGUCAAAGAAUUUACCCAAACUCAGCUUGGAUGUAAAUCACAAACUGUGGCUCCUCCAGCCCAGCCCUGACCACCGCACUCCACUUCCCCACCUCCCAGCAUGAAGAGGUAGAGUCCUCCCUGCUCCUCAGGGAAACUGCAGAGGGAGCUAAGUCCAAUCACUUUGAAGCAGGCCACAGCUCCAGCAUGCAGAAGGACGAUCGUGGGAAGCACCACAUCCUGCUGCUGUACCCUCUAUGGGUACAGGGGAAGCGGGGGCCGUACCGCAGGCCUGCACCCCAUAGCUGACACAGGGCGAGUCUGGGCUUGGAGCCUCCGCGAGCUCAGAAUGUUGGACCUGAGUGUUCCCUGCUCCCUCUGAGAUGACAGGUGAGCCUGUGCCAGGAAGAUCUGAGCUUCUGCACCUCUGUCUUCAUGAGCAGAAAAUCACCUUGGCCUGGGAGAUGACCAGAUCCACUGUGUGCAGGAGAAAACUUCAGUCUCAAAGAGGUCAAGCUGUCUCCCGAGACUUACAGGAAAUAACCAAGAUUCUCACUCAACUCUGGGAUGUAUCCUCCACUUACCUGUCUGUGUUAUAUCCCACCUCCCAGCCCUGUGGACAGGAAAAGACAAGGGCUGAGGAUGCUGGGGAGAAAAAGGUCCUGGAGCCAAGCAGCAGGAGAAACCAGAGCAGCAAAGGGAAGUUCUUGCGUGGCAGCAGAGGUAGUGACCACAGUGGCAGGAUGGGGAAUCCGUGGCCCCAUUCUGUCAUUGAACAGCUCUGUGGGGUCACAGUGCAGCACCUAGUGGACAUUCACAAGUACUAUCUGAAGGAGCAAAACAGACUCUUAAAUAAUGUGACUCAUUAUUAUUCACAGAAUCACAUGAUGUCAAGAGAGACAGGAUGUCCGAUGUCCCAGACACAUCUGGUGGGGGAGCCAGCGAUCAGGGAGUGACCCCUGGCCCAUGGGCUUAGGAUGACUCAUGUGCCAACUCCCUUUGAUGACGUGACCAAUGGGUCCUCCUACAUCUCCCCAUGGGCAGUUAGAGCCACAGCAGAUGAGCCACCAACCAGCUAUGAACCUGGUGACUUCAUAGCUGAAUGUGCUGUUAGGAGGUGCGCUCUGGUCACUGGGGGCAUGGCUGGGAAGGUUGUAUUUUGUCCCUAGCUCCUUCCUCUCUCUCUGCUUCCUGGCUGCAUGAGCGGAGCAGCUGUCUUCUGCCAUGCCUUUCCGCUAGGCUGUUUUUGCCUUGGGGUUAACCCACAUGGACUAACUCUUGGAAAUUAU